GAUGAUAUUCUUGAAUGUUCUAACAGUUCCUCGGAGCAAAGUCGCUUGAUACAGCACUGCCAUUGGCGGAUGUACGGUGAACCGUUAAAAAGUUAGAGGUUUUGCCGUUUCAAAGCGACAGUGUAUUCGGGAAAUAGCAUCGGGAAAGAUCGGAAAGGAUCGGAAAGGAUCGGAAAGAAUCGGAAAGGAUCGGUAAGGAUCGGUAAGGAUAGUUCGAGGACGUCCGAGAUCUUAUUUUCGCGACAUGCUGCAACCAGCUGGUACUUUUUGACGAGUAGAUAGCUAGAAAAUCGUCCCCUGCAGCGACAGAAGUUCCUCGUAGCUGACUCGAUAAAAACUAGUUGAUAUAAGUACGGAAACUAAACUACGUGCUUAUCUGUGACGAUAUUAUUACAACUAAAUUUCUCUUUUUCGCAUUUAUUGGAUGCUAAAUAAACUUGCCUACGUUGUCUUAUCGUCUUUCUCUAUCUAUCUACUCAGUACGAAGAAUUCUUAUCAUCGAAGCCGGUACAAAUGUACUGACGCUUUGGUAAUAAAACAUCGUCGAGAUUGCCAUCCAGUACCAUUUUAAUAUGUACCUAUGUAAAUUUGAUUUAUUAUUACGAAUCGUAGCUUUUUAUUUUAGACCGGUACUUUUUUCUUUUCGCUAUCGGAAGAGGAGUACUUUCACGUCUACUGUAAUUUAUUUAGUCGUGGUCAAAAGAAAAAAAGAAGAAAAGAAGACAUGUUUCGCUCUCAAAUACAUUUUCUCUCGUGAGCCUUUCUUUCCGUGACUUUUCAACGCGUAAAAUCGAAUAAAAUUUUAAUGAAUACUUAUUAUAAAUAUUUUGAAUUCAUUCUCAAUGUUUAUAUCGCUUCUUAAGCCGUAUCUUUUACUUGUGAGGAUAGUGAAGAUCGGAGUGGUUGUUCGCACGACCCAUACACAUGCGCCCGAUGCAGCCGAUACAGCGAUUGCCGUAUUUUACACAAGUUGCUUGAGAAAAUUAACGAAAUAUACUUCAUCUACAUUAAGUACUUCAGUAGACUUUCGAUUAUGUUUUCGACGAAUUAAUAAGGAAAACAAAAUUAAAUUGUUUCUCCAAGCUUCCAAGCAAUACAAUUUUCAAGCAAUGAAAAAUCCGACUUGAAAAACGAUAUGUAAUUUCUGCUGUCGAAUUGUACUCCAACUUUGUAUGAAAGAUACAUGAACGAAUGUGAACGAUUUCUAUUUUGGUCAAGAAACUACAGUCGGCUUGUAGCGACACUUUUUUAGUUUCACACAUGUUUUCUAUAAUCGCAAGGAUUUUGUUUUCGUGAUUAACAACGAAACUGCUCAUCGACAUUGUUUCUCGGUGAUGGGCGCAACUCGCCCAUUGUAGGAUGCCGCAUGCUGCGUAUUUUAUUUUAGUACUCUCGGCAUCCCAAGCGUCGAAUCUGAGAAUUCCAAUGCGAGCUGACUAACUAGUUGCUCGAUACGUAUGACUGUAUAACACAAAUUUACUUUUCAACUGUUUAUCUAUCUAUCUAAAAACAUCCACACAUUCUAAUUUUUAUGAAAUUAUUAUGACGUUGUCGAUAGUUGGCACUAGAAUAGAGCAACGACGUCAAAGCAGACGUCGAUAACAUGGAGACUCGUUGGAUCGAGCACAUGUUUGAGAUCCACGAGCAUAUCGCGGCAAUGUCCGCUACGUAGUGUAAUGACGUAGGUAUAAUUAAAAACACGACGACAUUGUCAACCGAGAUCCAUUCGGACGCGUAAACAAUCUUCGAAUGUUUUAAUCUUCGGAUUUCUAUCUAGGUAUAGGUAAGUAUAUAUUUAUAAGUUAAUUUUUCAGCUAAAUAUAAUAAUACGAUUUGAUCAAGGCGAUCGAAAAUUAUUGACAAAAUAACAAUGACAUCUAUAAAAAAAGUUUUUUAACCGAUGAUCGCGAUUAGGAUGUAGUUCCAUGAGGAUUGAAGUAUAUCUUUCGCGAUUGCAUCUAAAAAUGUUUAUUGGAGUGUCGAGAAAGGUUCGUAUUUCCGUGGCAUAGUGCGCGCCGAAAGAGCUGGUCGAUAUUUUUUGUCAUCGCGCGCAAAGCAGCUCGGUCGGGAGGAGGAUGAGUUUGAGAAAGCUUCAACGAGUGUCUCAAGAAACAAAGAGAGGUUGCAUCGUUUUCAUAGAUCUUCUAUCGCUUUGUUUUCUCCUCCUUUUCCUUGUUCAUAGGUCGAUGUAAAGGAUAGGUAGAGGUUGGCGACGUUGGCGGUGGCGUCUCUGCUAGAGGUGAAACGUUUGGAGUCCGCCGAAGGGUCGCUAGACAGGACGGUAGACAGGAGUAACGAUUGCCACCCCAGCCGCGCCGAGAUGGUCGCCCCCUACAGCUGCUUCACCCCUACGUGCUACCCAUUCUGUGAACGCUACUAACCUAGCCGAAAACAUCUCCCACUGGCCUUUAAAAGAACGUGAGAAAUCACCUCAAGAAUUUUGUUGGGUAAAUGGAUGAUCAGGAGGCCUUUCUCGAGCUUAAGAGAGACAAUGUUUAGAAAGAAAUAGUAGACGCUUUUAGAUAUAUACGCUUUUUCCUGCGGUCAGGGAAAUACGACAGCAAGUAUUCUAUCAGUUAUGAAGAAAGAGUGACUUUAACCGCAAUAACUUCCAGGGUUUAUCUUUCCGAGAACUUUUUAACCCGUAUACUUACCGUUUCCUGCUAGAAAUGAUUAAAUUCUGCUAGAAAAGGAGCGUGAUAAUGUUUGAAUUUUAUAUCGCAUUUCUUACAUUCUUGGACAAGUGAUACUGCUAGUAAAAUUUGCUGCUUUUCGAUAAUAUAUUAUUAAAUAAUAUUUUAAAUAAUAUGGAUUCUAUGGAAACAGUGCGUCUUGGAAAAGUUAUAAACAAUUGCUUGGAAAGGCUGUAAAUAAAAUUUGUAAGUUAUACAAUUCAUCACUAUAUCGAAUGGUUCAACUUAUUAAACAAAGGCGAGCUCAACUUAUUACUAAAAACGAAAAAUACAUAUUCUAAUUAAUAAUUUAAGUUUAGUAAAUAUCAUGUAGAUAUUUGUAAAUUCAUCGGUUUUACUAUAUUUUUGUUCUGUUUACUGAAGAAUUUGAUUUGAUGCAAAUAAAAAUCAUUAACUUUUGCUUUUCAGAAUAUACUAUCUUCAUAGAAUCCACAUUAUUUAAAAUAUUUCAUAAUAUACUAUCGAAAAGCAGUAAAGUAAUUAGUAUGCUAUGUUAUAGUCUGGUAGUGUUUUAUAUCUGUCAGAAUAGUAGAUGUCCUUAGUAGCAUGACUGAUCUUUUUGUAAUUGGACAAUAAGAUUACAGUGUCGUAUUUAAAUGCGGGUUGUCUGUUAAGAUAUAAAGCGAAUAAAUUGUAUCUACCACCUACUAUUUUGGUCGUUGAUCGACCAAAUUAGCCCAGUUUAUAUCCGAGUGACGUAUAUUUCCAGCAUUUAUUUUCUUCGCUGUACCGGUCUGCUGACUGCUGCGCCACCGCCGACGUCGUUGUUUCUGCUGCUGACAGAGUGUUGCGGAUAAACGAAGGAGUGGGAAUAUGUCGUCGUCCACGUUAGACGACGCGCGACUGACUCGUCUUCAGCGAAAUUAUUGACCGUUUUCUUUUACCGUUUUUUAAUUAAAACAAUCUUUUCUUGAAAGGGAUUAAUGAAAUAAUGUUUUGAUGUAAUGUUGAGAGAUAUAACGAUCAAAUUUCUUUUUAAUGAAAAAAGUCAAAUAUGAAAGAUGACUAAUAAGCUAAGUUAUCUUUACAAAGCAUUGACGAUUGUAGAAAUUUCUAUGAUCAUUAAAGCUUAGUUAAUCGGCAUGAAGCAGUCCCUUAGUUACAUUUAAUAAUGCGUUAUUAGGAAAUUAAGAAACUAGGGAAAAAAUGAAAAAUAUUGUUCUCUAAAACAAGAAUGUCCAAGUUUUUUUUAGACAUUAAAAAACAAUUUUCUUUGUGAUUGAUAUUCAAAUUAAUAUUAACUGCUUGUAAAUAAGUGGUUAAGCUAAUAAAAUCUAAUGAUAUAAAACCAAA